GACGAACCGUACAAACGUUAUUCGGAAUUAUUGGGCUUAAAGGGUGCGUAGGCUGCGCGGAAAGUUGGGUGUGAAAGCCCUCGGCUCAACCGAGGAAUUGCAUUCAAAACUACCGUGCUCGAGGGAGACAGAGGUAAGCGGAACUCAAGGUGGAGCGGUGAAAUGCGUUGAUAUCUUGAGGAACACCGGUGGCGAAAGCGGCUUACUGGGUCUCUUCUGACGCUGAGGCACGAAAGCUAAGGUAG
rnacentral:rRNA from 1 species